GAUGAACGCUGGCGGCGCGCCUAACACAUGCAAGUCGAACGGCACCCCUCCUCGGAGGGAAGCGAGUGGCGAACGGCUGAGUAACACGUGGAGAACCUGCCCCCUCCCCCGGGAUAGCCGCCCGAAAGGACGGGUAAUACCGGAUACCCCGGGGUGCCGCAUGGCACCCCGGCUAAAGCCCCGACGGGAGGGGAUGGCUCCGCGGCCCAUCAGGUAGACGGCGGGGUGACGGCCCACCGUGCCGACAACGGGUAGCCGGGUUGAGAGACCGACCGGCCAGAUUGGGACUGAGCCACGGCCCAGACUCCUACGGGAGGCAGCAGUGGGGAAUCUUGCGCAAUGGGGGGAACCCUGACGCAGCGACGCCGCGUGCGGGACGGAGGCCUUCGGGUCGUAAACCGCUUUCAGCAGGGAAGAGUCAAGACUGUACCUGCAGAAGAAGCCCCGGCUAACUACGUG
rnacentral:rRNA from 1 species